rnacentral:rRNA from 1 species
GUGUCAGCAGCCGCGCGGUAAUACGGAGGGUGCAAGCGUUAAUCGGAAUUACUGGGCGUAAAGCGUGCGUAGGCGGUUUAUUAAGUCAGAUGUGAAAGCCCCGGGCUUAACCUGGGAACUGCAUUUGAAACUGGUAAACUAGAGUAUGGUAGAGGAAAGUGGAAUUUCUGGUGUAGCGGUGAAAUGCGUAGAUAUCAGAAGGAACAUCAAUGGCGAAGGCAGCUUUCUGGACCAAUACUGACGCUGAGGUACGAAAGCGUGGGUAGCAAACAGGAUUAGAUACCCUGGUAGUCCACGCCGUAAACGAUGAUAACUAGCCGUUGGGGGGAUUUACCCUUUAGUGGCGAAGCUAACGCGUUAAGUUAUCCGCCUGGGGAGUACGGCCGCAAGGUUAAAACUCAAAGGAAUUGACGGGGACCCGCACAAGCGGUGGAGCAUGUGGUUUAAUUCGAUGCAACGCGAAGAACCUUACCUGGUCUUGACAUCCUGCGAACUUUCUAGAAAUAGAUUGGUGCCUUCGGGAACGCAGUGACAGGUGCUGCAUGGCUGUCGUCAGCUCGUGUCGUGAGAUGUUGGGUUAAGUCCCGUAACGAGCGCAACCCCUAUCCUUAUUUGCCAGCACAUUAUGGUGGGAACUAUAAGGAGACUGCCGGUGAUAAACCGGAGGAAGGCGGGGACGACGUCAAGUCAUCAUGGCCCUUACGACCAGGGCUACACACGUGCUACAAUGGGAUGGACAAAGAGUCGCGAAGCCGCGAGGUGUAGCUAAUCUCACAAACCUUCUCGUAGUCCGGAUUGGAGUCUGCAACUCGACUCCAUGAAGUCGGAAUCGCUAGUAAUCGUAGAUCAGAAUGCUACGGUGAAUACGUUCCCGGGUCUUGCACACACCGCCCGUCA